UUCCUCUGUACCAAGAAUGAACAAAAAGCAAAGGUUAAUCAUCUAAAUCAUUCAUGAAAAUCUACAACAAGCAUUUCUCAGCACUGCACACUGGUGCCCACAGCAAGUCACCUAUCAAGUGAAGUAUUGUACAGUUAUGAAAUUAAAAGACCAACCUUCCUUGCACAAUAGAUAGAUACAUGUUCACUGCUUUAUUUUGCACUUCCGGCAGCCCUCUGUGCUUGGAAACUUAAGUUUAAUGUUGCUUUGUAAACCAGUCACUCCCAGCACCAAAGUCCAUACCAAAAAAUCACAGAUUUUGCACCAUGGCAGACAGGUAUCGUUGAUCCACGAAUGUCUCCAUCAGUAAGUUCAAAUGUAUAAUUUUGUGACUUCUGUGUUUAAAAUCUUUUGUUUAGUUUUACCUACGUGACAGAAAAUUGCCAAAAGCCGCAGCAGAAGAACCAGCAGCUCCAGUAUCUAGAAGAGCUAAAAUUGAUGAUUUUCUCUAUGGAAUUUGGUGUGGGGGAGUGAGUGUUUGAAAAACGUCCGUUUCCAGUCAGAAAAGGUUGUUUGAAGUCACAGGACCACACUUUAAAAGACCAAACCAUCAACAUUGACAGUGCUGCAAAGGCCAUCACCUCGGUCAGACUCUGAGUGGUUGGAGAACGUCCGUGAGUCCAGGCUGUCUGUGCGGACCCUCUCUCCGUGAGUCUGGAGCUGGGAGAGCUGCCUCUGCAGAUGCCUCUGCUCUCGCUCUAAGUUCUCCAGCUGGUGCAGACUCCUGCGGUCCACCUCUUCAAGUUUCUAAACACAGACACAUACAAGAGUUAAAGGUCUGGUGUGGGUGUUACUGGCAGAAACUGAAUAUACUACACCACAAACAUCUUUGGCACCACACCUUGAUAUGUGCUUUGGCCUUGUUGAGGAGUCCCAGCGUGGUGUGCCGACUGCAGUCUGGUCCCAGAGGGAUGAGAGACUUCAACCUCUCCAAACACAGGCGGAGGUGUGCUCGUCUAUGGAGAGGAAACACACACACAAGCAUCCAGGAUCACAACCAGAGUCACAAUCUGGGUUUUAGAGCCAAGAAGCAGAUGCUGCCACAUCCUGGAGCUACGGAACCAGACUGCUGCUGCUGCUGCUGCUGCUGCUGCUGUUAUUCGACGUGUGCAGCUGAGAAUCUCUCAGGAAGGAGCCCCGUUGUCUGGAAACAGACGGUUCCCGUUUGCUGACGGGGGACAUGUCUGCAUGUCCUCCAGGAACAGAACUGCUGUUACUGAGGCUGCAGCACACACCUCCCACCCUCCCCUUUUUUUUAUUUGCCUUGCAAAAGACACACACACAGCCUUUAUUGGAUUCCAAUGAUGAUAAGCUGAUUUAUAGACGUGCAGUGUGUCUUGUUUUUGAAAUUUUAUUUCAAGAAUAAAACAGGAGGUGCUUCACGACACUUUAGGUAAGAGGCUAUAAGAUCGAGGCAGCUAUAGCGUUAUUUUAGACAUUCCUCGUGGCAGAGCCGGCGAAGAAGAAGCAGAGGAAACCGUUGUUGGAGGAAAACAACAGUCGUUUUUUAAAUUGAAUUGAAAAACACAGGUAUGCAAAAUGGAUGCCGAUCGGCAUGGACAAGGAUCCACGGCUUGUGUUCGCCGGCUCCGUUGAAGACAAAUGCACAGGGCCCAUGUCAAUGUUACAAUAUUUACAUGGUGUCAUGAAAAUAUGUACUCCAAAACUGUAGGGGGCGCUCCGUAGAAAAAAGUGACCAGACUUGCAAAGUCCUACUUUAACUGGUCCACGUAAAUAUGAACAUGUUUCUCCUUCUUUUUAGCCUCACUCCUCCACAAUUUAAAAAAAUAUUUUAUUUAUUUUUACUGCUUUUAAAUCCUUAAAUGGUCUUGCUCCGCCCCCUCUCUGAGGUCAGCUGAUCAGCUGCUCCUGACAGAGUGGAGCUGUUCUUCUCCUUGACCUUUGACACUCUUUAAGUUGCUUGACAUUUUAUUUUAUUAGUUUGUGUUGUUUUUUUAUUGUGUGUUUUAUGUCUUUUAAUUUGUUUUAACACAUAUUUUAUUGCUUUUAUUUUACAGCUUGUAUGCUCUACAAAUAAAGUUGGAUUUUAUUAUCAGUUCUGGACUCAUCAUAAACGUGUCCACACAAACUUCCUCAUCCAUGUAUCUGUACUCACCUAUUCUUCUCCAGUUCAU